rnacentral:rRNA from 1 species
GUGGAUUAGAUACCCUGGUAGUCCACGCCGUAAACGAUGAGUGCUAGGUGUUAGGGGGCCCACCCCUUAGUGCCGAAGCUAACGCAUUAAGCACUCCGCCUGGGGAGUACGGUCGCAAGACUGAAACUCAAAGGAAUUGACGGGGGCCCGCACAAGCAGUGGAGCAUGUGGUUUAAUUCGAAGCAACGCGAAGAACCUUACCAAGACUUGACAUCCCGCUGACCGCUCUAGAGAUAGAGUUUCCCUUCGGGGCAGCGGUGACAGGUGGUGCAUGGCCGUCGUCAGCU